AUAAGCGCCACUUCCUCAUCGACUUCAUUUGACCGCCACCUCCCAAGUUGCUUCAGAUCAUCCUGACCUCGCACGUUGCCCUCCACAACAAUGUCUCAGUCAGCCCCGCUAUCUUCCGGAGAGGUCCCAGGAGUGCUCUGCGACGCUAUCGCCAGUACCAGCUGUCUUGCCGGGCCAUUGAGCUUACUGGUUUCCUGGAACACCUAUCUAAAUCUUCUAUUCCUGAGUCUCCUCACCUCGCUCACCACAUCGUGAGAGAUACCGUCUGUCUUGAUCAGAACACCCAAUUUCACCCCACAACCUGUGAUCAGUCUACUCAGACCUUCUACUGGCAUACUGGCACCACCUCUCAAGGCGUCCAAACUGAGGACUUCCCUGUUGAGAUCUCCUCUGAUGAUUCUUCCUCUGACUCUUCUUCACCUCCUAGUUCCCCUGACGUUCCCCAACGUUCUCCUGGAUUUGUGCCUUUGCCUUACAGUAUUCACGAUAUUCCCCAAUCUUCUCCUGUCUAUUCGCCUCCAGUUUCUCCCACUGAUUACUCUCCAACUUCUCCUCAGGAACCUGAGAUCCCGUCUUCUACAACUGACCCUCUGGUCCCACUGAUCCCACUGGAUAGGCUGACUGACUGAGCUGUAACUCCUAAUGUUCCAAUAAAUUUCUCUUUUCUA